GAUGAACGCUGGCGGCGUGCCUAAUACAUGCAAGUCGAGCGGACAGACGAUGAUCUUGCUCCUCGGACGUUAGCGGCGGGCGGGUGAGUAACACGUGUAUAACCUACCUGUAAGACUGGGAUAACUUCGGGAAACCGGAGCUAAUACCGGAUAAGAUAUUGAUCCGCAUGGUUCAAUAGUGAGAGACGGUUGUGCUGGCACUUAUCGAUGGAUCCGCGCCGCUUGAGAUAGUUGGUAAGGUAACGGCUUACCAAGGCAACCAUGCGUAGCCGAAGUGAGAGGGUGAUAGGCCACACUGGAGGUGAAACACGGUCAAGACUACUACGGGAGGGACCAGUAGGGAAUGUUACGCAAUGGGCGAAAGUAUGACGGAGCAAGGGCGAGCGAGUGAUGAAGGUGCUCGGAUCGUAAAACUGUGUUACUAGGGAAGAACAAAUGUGUAAGUAAACAUGCACGUCUUGACGGUAAUUAAUAAGAAAGCAACGGCUAACUACGUG
rnacentral:rRNA from 1 species